CACAAGCGUGGAUGAUGUGGUUUAAUUCGAUGCAACGCGAAAACCUUACCCACCUUUGACAUGGCAGGAAUCCCGAAGAGAUUUGGGAGUGCUCGAAAGAGAACCUGCACACAGGUGCUGCAUGGCUGUCGUCAGCUCGUGUCGUGAGAUGUUGGGUUAAGUCCCGCAACGAGCGCAACCCUUGUCAUUAGUUGCCAUCAUUUGGUUGGGCACUCUAAUGAGACUGCCGGUGACAAACCGGAGGAAGGUGGGGAUGACGUCAAGUCCUCAUGGCCCUUAUGGGUAGGGCUUCACACGUCAUACAAUGGUCGGUACAGAGGGUUGCCAACCCGCGAGGGGGAGCUAAUCCCACAAAGCCGAUCGUAGUCCGGAUCGCAGUCUGCAACUCGACUGCGUGAAGUCGGAAUCGCUAGUAAUCGUGGAUCAGCAUGUCACGGUGAAUACGUUCCCGGGUCUU
rnacentral:rRNA from 1 species